CCCUUAGAUGUUCUGGGCCGCACGCGCGCUACACUGAUGCAUUCAACGAGUCUAAAACCUGGUCUGAUAGGGGUGGGUAAUCUUUUGAAUGUGCAUCGUGAUUGGGAUAGAUGAUUGCAAUUUUUCAUCUUCAACGAGGAAUGCCUAGUAAACGCAAGUCAUCAGCUUGCAUUGAUUACGUCCCUGCCCUUUGUACACACCGCCCGUCGCUCCUACCGAUUGAAUGAUCCGAUGAAUAUCAUGGAUUGAGGAUGCAAGCAGGUUCGCCUGUCUUCAUCUUCGAGAAGUGAAGUAAAUCUUAUCAUUUAGAGGAAGGAGAAGUCGUAACA
rnacentral:rRNA from 1 species